UGGUCCAGUGGUAUAUGCACUGGUCUGCAGAUUGGCAAGCGUGGGUUCAAACUCCACU
rnacentral:tRNA from 1 species